AUAAGGGUAGCCUAGUGGACAUGGCACCUGCCCGGUAAGCAGAAGGUUGUGGGUUCGUUUCCCGCCCCUGGACACUUUUAUU
rnacentral:tRNA from 1 species